rnacentral:tRNA from 1 species
CCGAGUAUAGUAUAAUAGUAGUACAUUUGGCUGUAGACCAAACAGAGGUGGUGCGAAUCCAUCUGCUCGGA